rnacentral:rRNA from 1 species
CAAGCGUUAAUCGGAAUCGACUGGGCGUUAAAGCGCUCGUAGGUGGCUUUGUAAGUCAGGUGUGUAAAGCCCACGGCUCAACCGUGGAAUUGCACUUGAUACUGCAUUGCUUGAGUUCGGGAGAGGGUAGUGGAAUUCCAGGUGUAGGAGUGAAAUCCGUAGAGAUCUGGAGGAACACCAGUGGCGAAGGCGACUACCUGGACCGAUACUGACACUGAGGAGCGAAAGUGUGGGGAGC